UGGGGCUGAAGAAGGUCCCAAGGGUUCGGCUGUUCGCCGAUUAAAGAGUUACGCGAGCUGGGUUCAGAACGUCGUGAGACAGUUCGGUCCCUAUCCUUCGUGGGCGCAGGAAAUUUGAGGAGACCCGCAUCUAGUACGAGAGGACCGAUGUGGACGAACCUCUGGUUUACCGGUUGUGAUGCCAAUUGCAUUGCCGGGUAGCCACGUUCGGUGAGGAUAACCGCUGAAAGCAUCUAAGCGGGAAGCCAGCUCCAAGAUUAGAUUUCCCCAUUAGACGGGUUGGAGACUACAACCUUGAUAGGUCACAGGUGUAAGUGCGGCAACGCAUUCAGCCGAGUGAUACUAAUACGUCGAUUGGCUUUCACCA
rnacentral:rRNA from 1 species